rnacentral:rRNA from 1 species
GCCCUACGGGUGGCAGCAGUUAGGAAUCUUCCACAAUGGGCGAAAGCCUGAUGGAGCGACGCCGCUUGAGGGAUGAAGGUUUUCGGAUUGUAAACCUCUGAACGAGUGACGAAAGAUAACCAAAAUGACGGUAGCUCGGUAAUAGCACCGGCUAACUCCGUGCCAGCAGCCGCGGUAAUACGGAGGGUGCAAGCGUUACCCGGAAUCACUGGGCGUAAAGGGCGUGUAGGCGGGAUGUUAAGUCUGACUUUAAAGACCGUGGCUCAACCACAGGAGUGGGCUGGAUACUGGCAUUCUAGACAACUGGAGAGGCGAUUGGAAUUACUGGUGUAGCGGUGGAAUGCGUAGAUACCAGUAGGAACGUCAAUGGCGAAGGCAGGUCGCUGGACAGUUUGUGACGCUGAGGCGCGAAAGUGUGGGGAGCAAACCGGAUUAGAUACCCUGGUAGUCUG